rnacentral:lncRNA from 1 species
CUGUGCUGGAUCUGUGUGCUCAGUGGCCACGCGUCGGCCUCAGGAACGGGAACGAGGCGAGAGACACAGAUGUGCAGGAUCUGCGCUUGCAGCCACCUUACUUCGUGGGCUGUACCUGAGGUGACAGGCAGGGUCUUCUCUGAUGAAGUUACCCACACGAGUCACCACGGGAUGACGGUGAGCAGGUGCCACGGAAGGUAACACUGAGCGCAUGCGGUUAAAGGACAAGAGGGAAAGGGUGAGGGCAGACCAACGGUCAUUUUCACAACUCUUCUGUGUUAGAGUUCUCUAGAGGGACAGCACUGAUAGGAUAGACCUAUAUAUGAAGGGAAGUUUAUUAAGGAAUAUUGACCCACACGAUCACAAGGUGAAAUCCCACAAUAGGCUGUCUGCAAGCUAAGGAACAAGGAAGCCAGUCUGAGUCCCCAAACCUCAAAAGUAGGGAAGCCAACAAUGCAGUCUUCAGUCUGUGGCUGAAGGCCCGGGAGCACCUGGCAAACUACUGGUGUAAGCCCAAGAGUCCAAAAGCUAAAGAACUUGGAGUCCAGUGUUUGAGGGCAGGAAGCAUCCAGCUCGGAAGAAAGAUGGAGGCGGGAAGACUCAGCCAGUCAAGUCCUUCCACGUUUGUCUGCCUGCUGUUAUCCCACCUGCACUGGCAGCUGAUUAGAUGGUGCCCACCCAAUUGAGGGUGGGUCUGCCUCUCCCAGUCCACUGAAAUGAAAUGCUAAUCUCCUUUGGCAACACCCUCACAGACACACCCAGGAACAGUACUUUGUAUCCUUCAAUCCAAUCAAGUUGACACUCAGUAUUAACCAUCACACUCUGCAAGGAAGGUGUUUUAUGUCCAUUUUAUAGAAGAGAAACUGAGGCUCAGAGAAGUUGUUAUUUGUCCAAGAUUACAGAGCCAGCUUCUGGCCAACCUUGAGCGAUUCAAAAAUUGAAGCCCCUUCCACUAGGUCCCACUGAC